AAUCAACGCUGGCGGCGUGCCUCAGACAUGCAAGUCGAACGAUUAAAGCUCUCUUCGGAGAGUGCAUAAAGUGGCGCACGGGUGAGUAGCACGUAAGUAAUCUACCCUCGAGUGGGGAAUAACAGUCGGAAACGACUGCUAAUACCGCAUAAUGCAGCGGCACCGCAAGGUGACAGUUGUUAAAGAUUUAUUGCUUGAGGAGGAGCUUGCGGCAGAUUAGCUUGUUGGUAAGGUAACGGCUUACCAAGGCUACGAUCUGUAUCCGGUCUAAGAGGACGGUCGGACACACUGACACUGAACAACGGGUCAGACUCCUACGGGAGGCAGCAGUCGGGAA
rnacentral:rRNA from 1 species